CGUGUUAAGCGAAAAAAGAGUAUCACAUUUGUGUUUUUGCUUUUAAAGAACUUUCGAGAGCUUUAAACUUCUUUUGUAUUCCACUGAAAUAUUCCAUUCCAAUGGAAUCCAAAAUGAACUCAGAUCGUCUUGAAAAUUCUCCAA